rnacentral:tRNA from 1 species
GGCGUUGUGUCAGACUAAUUGAGUCAUCUUGAUGUGGUGGAAGAUGGGAUUAUUUCCCCGACGUCU